AUUGAACGCUGGCGGCAUGCUUUACACGUGCAAGUCGAACGGCAGCACGGGGGCAGCCCUGGUGGCGCGUGGCGCACGGGUGAGUAAUACAUCGGAAUGUGCCCGGUCGUGGGGGAUAACGUCGCGAAAGUUACGCUAAUACCGCAUACGAUCUGAGGAUGAAAGCGGGGGAGCUUCGGACCUCGCGCGAUCGGAGGGGCCGAGGUCCGUGUAGUUAGUUUGUGGGGUGAAGGCCUGCUAAGCCGACGAUCUGUAGCUGGUCUGAGAGGACGACCAGCCACAUGGGAAGGGAAACAGGGCCAAGACGCCUACGGGAGGCAGCAGUGGGGAAUUGUGGACAAUGGGCGCAAGCCUGAUCCAGCCAGGCCGCGUGCGGGACGAAGGCCUUCGGGUUGGAAAGUGCUUUUUUGCGGAACGAAAAGGCUCUGGCUAAUACCUGGCGCUCAUGACGGUACCGGAAGAAUAAGCACCGGCUAACUACGUG
rnacentral:rRNA from 1 species